UACAUAGGGGGCGAGCGUUAUCCGGAAUUAUUGGGCGUAAAGAGUGCGUAGGCGGUCUAUUAAGUUUGACGUGAAAUCCCACAGCUUAACUGUGGAGGUGCGUUGAAAACUGGUAGACUUGAGUACAGUAGAGGUAAGUGGAAUUCCAAGUGGAGCGGUGGAAUGCGUAGAUAUUUGGAGGAACACCAGUGGCGAAGGCGGCUUACUGGGCUGGAACUGACGCUGAGGCACGAAAGCGUGGGGAGCAAAC
rnacentral:rRNA from 1 species